rnacentral:rRNA from 1 species
GAGUUUGAUCCUGGCUCAGAACGAACGCUGGCGGCGUGCCUAACACAUGCAAGUCGAACGUGAAGGGGGCUUCGGUCCCUGGAAAGUGGCGCACGGGUGAGUAACGCGUGGAUAAUCUGCCCAGUGGUCUGGGAUAACAUCUCGAAAGGGGUGCUAAUACCGGAUAAGCCCACGGGGUCUUCGGAUUCUGCGGGAAAAGGGGGGGACCUUCGGGCCUUUUGUCACUGGAUGAGUCCGCGUACCAUUAGCUAGUUGGUGGGGUAAUGGCCCACCAAGGCGACGAUGGUUAGCUGGUCUGAGAGGAUGAUCAGCCACACUGGAACUGAGACACGGUCCAGACUCCUACGGGAGGCAGCAGUGGGGAAUUUUGCGCAAGGGGCGAAAGCCUGACGCAGCAACGCCGCGUGAGUGAUGAAGGCCUUCGGGUCGUAAAGCUCUGUCGGGAGGGAAGAAAUGAUUGAGGGCUAAUACCUCUUGGUCUUGACGGUACCUCCGAAGGAAGCACCGGCUAACUCCGUGCCAGCAGCCGCGGUAAUACGGAGGGUGCAAGCGUUGUUCGGAAUUAUUGGGCGUAAAGCGCGUGUAGGCGGUCUUUUAAGUCUGAUGUGAAAGCCCCGGGCUCAACCUGGGAAGUGCAUUGGAAACUGGGAGACUUGAGUACGGGAGAGGGUAGUGGAAUUCCUAGUGUAGGAGUGAAAUCCGUAGAUAUUAGGAGGAACACCGGUGGCGAAGGCGGCUGCCUGGACCGAUACUGACGCUGAGACGCGAAAGCGUGGGGGAGCAAACAGGAUUAGAUACCCUGGGUAGUCCACGCCGUAAACGAUGAGUACUAGGUGUUGCGGGUAUUGACCCCUGCAGUGCCGCAGCUAACGCAUUAAGUACUCCGCCUGGGAAGUACGGCCGCAAGGCUAAACUCAAAGGAAUUGACGGGGGCCCGCACAAGCGGCGGAGC